GGGCUUUUAUAUCGAUCGAAUCGCUCCAUCCUGAUCGUUCUCAUCGUGUUCAUGUUUUGUCUCUCCUCUUCAUUAUUGGUUCCUCCUUGAAAUCUCACACACGUCCGAACACAAUCUCACUACAAUUGCUAUUAUCACUUGAAUAACUUCCUUCAACCUAAAACUUGACAACAGGAGAUGGAGAUAAGGAUGAGGAUGAUUCAGAUAGAGUUAAAAGGAAGGCCCAAGAAAAGUAAAAGUAACCCACCUUUAUCAACAAAUUUGGGAGGUUGGGACACUUCCGCUUUUUUGCAUUAAAAACCACUCGAAAAGGA